AGUUUAGAAAUCACUGGAACAAUUACAGAAUGAUUUGAACUUUCCAGAAUGAUCCUAAUAAAAGAUGCGUUAAUAUAGACUUCUACAUUUUACUAGAAACUUCCAUUGUAACUUUCUAGGAUGUUCUAGUAUAGAUUGUUCUAGAAUUUUCCUUGACAAUUAUAUAUAUGCAGACACUAAAGUUAAACGCUCACUCUUGGAUUUGGACUUAGACAUCGAUAGACAUUAAUAUUCAUAGCCUUUGGAUUGACACUUUUAUUCUACAAACAACAUCAUACU
rnacentral:lncRNA from 1 species